ACACAUCAACCCCAGUCAGGUUUGAAAUCUGACUGGUGGCUGGAUUUGGGAGUUGCCGGCUGUUUUGAUUCAGUCGGCUCUCCUUGAAUGUAUUAGCUUGGACUGUUUCCAAAUGCUUCAUAGCGUGAUAAUUAUCUACGCUUUGGACGGGUUUGGAAUACUAUCGGUCUGGCUUCUAAUCGUCCUCUGGACAAUGUAUUCAUU
rnacentral:misc_RNA from 1 species